GCUUAACACAUGCAAGUCGAACGGAAAGGCCCUGCUUGCGGGGUACUCGAGUGGCGAACGGGUGAGUAACACGUGGGUGAUCUGCCCUGCACUUCGGGAUAAGCUUGGGAAACUGGGUCUAAUACCGGAUAGGACCGCACUUUAGUGUGUGUGGUGGAAAGUUUUUUCGGUGUAGGAUGAGCUCGCGGCCUAUCAGCUUGUUGGUGGGGUAAUGGCCUACCAAGGCGUCGACGGGUAGCCGGCCUGAGAGGGUGUACGGCCACAUUGGGACUGAGAUACGGCCCAGACUCCUACGGGAGGCAGCAGUGGGGAAUAUUGCACAAUGGGCGCAAGCCUGAUGCAGCGACGCCGCGUGGGGGAUGAAGGCCUUCGGGUUGUAAACUCCUUUCGCUAGGGACGAAGCUUUUGUGACGGUACCUAGAUAAGAAGCACCGGCUAACUACGUGCCAGCAGCCGCGGUAAUACGUAGGGUGCGAGCGUUGUCCGGAAUUACUGGGCGUAAAGGGCUCGUAGGUGGUUUGUCGCGUCGUCUGUGAAAUUCUGGGGCUUAACUCCGGGCGUGCAGGCGAUACGGGCAUAACUUGAGUGCUGUAGGGGUAACUGGAAUUCCUGGUGUAGCGGUGAAAUGCGCAGAUAUCAGGAGGAACACCGAUGGCGAAGGCAGGUUACUGGGCAGUUACUGACGCUGAGGAGCGAAAGCAUGGGUAGCGAACAGGAUUAGAUACCCUGGUAGUCCAUGCUGUAAACGGUGGGCGCUAGGUGUGAGGGUUUUUCUACGAUUCUCGUGCCGUAGCUAACGCAUUAAGCGCCCCGCCUGGGGAGUACGGCCGCAAGGCUAAAACUCAAAUGAAUUGACGG
rnacentral:rRNA from 1 species